GCCAGUUUCACCUAGUGGACGUUUGGUUGAACCCACGCCCUUUAAACCUUCUGGUUCUAGGAUCGAAACUGGCAUUUAGUGACGGAGGGAGUAUAACAUAUCAAUUAAUGAGGUAUUUCAAAAUACCUUUCUUUUAUUUUGUUUUAUUAUAUGUUUUUUUUGUUUAUAAUUUGGAAAGGAGGGAGUGUUAUUAUAUUGCUUUUCUUAAUUUGUAAACUUAACAAUAAACAACUUACAAUUUUG
rnacentral:lncRNA from 1 species